UAAACACCGAUAGCCCAGUACACUCGCUAUCCGCCCGGGAACUACGAGCAUCAGCUUAAAACCCAAAGGACUUGGCGGUGCUUAAGAUCCACCUAGAGGAGCCUGUUCUAGAACCGAUAACCCCCGUUCAACCUCACCCUCCCUUGUUUUUCCCGCCUAUAUACCGCCGUCGUCAGCUUACCCUAUGAGGGACAAACAGUAAGCAAAAUUGGUUUAACCCAAAACGUCAGGUCGAGGUGUAGCGAAUGAGAGGGGAAGAAAUGGGCUACAUUUCCUAAUUUAGUAUAUACGAACAGUGUGCUGAAACCCACACUUGAAGGAGGAUUUAGCAGUAAGCAGAAAAUAGAGCGUUCCGCUGAAACCGGCCCUAAAGCGCGCACACACCGCCCGUCACUCUCCCCGAGCUACCAUUAUAGCACAUAAUUAAAACCCUACAAUUGCAAAGGGGAGGCAAGUCGUAACAUGGUAAGUGUACUGGAAGGUGCACUUGGAAAAAU
rnacentral:rRNA from 1 species